GAGAUUUCGCAUAUAUGGUAAUGAAGUAGUUGAAGGGUCCCUAUCUCAUCAAUUAGUGGAAAGUCGUUUUUGCCCAUAUGUUGGCCUUGCGUUUUUCAUUGUUAAUCUCUACUUCAACCGUGCCUUCUUGUUCGCUUUACCUUUUUCUUCAUUUGUGCUUUUCAUGUCUUCCUUUCGCCCUCUGUUUUUCUUGAAUCCUUCGUUGCUCUCGAAUUUUUCGUUCCUUAUUUCACAAAAUAUUCACCAAACAAAUCCUGAUUUUCGUUUUUUAGGGGAUUUUGUUUGCGCUCUCCGUUUUGAGGGAAGUUGUGUUCCUCUGUAAAGCUAGCUGUAGAACUAGGGUUCUGGGAGUUUUGUGGAAAGUCAUAAAAUUCGUUUCUAGGGUUCUUAAAGUUGCAAUUGGCGGGCCAAAACUUCAUAGUAUUUGUUUCUUUGCCGUUUGGGAUUCCGGAGUUGUCGCUGGAUUUAUGGUGAAUAUGUAGCACGGUUUGGGAGAGACUGUCUUCAGAUCAUUGUGGUGAGCUGCAGUGCUUUGUCAAGGCUUUCGUGCUUAAAGGGGCAUUUUGCAUUUUGCUACCUGAGUUCAUAAAUCUCAGAUUUGGCAGCAAUCGGAACACAACUGUUAUUUUAUGGAGAGGAGUGCAAUGACUCCAAUUUUAGGAAGUUUGUGCUUUUGGUUUGUACGAGAAAGAGAGAACACGAAGUGGGAGAGGAAGAUACAAAAUAGUAAGUUUAAUUGUAAUUUAUUUAUUUUUUUUAAUACUGUUAGCGGAGGAACGCAUCUGUUGGGUGAAGUGGUAGGUCUAAAAAUGGAUAUCAUACAGUUGAAGAACCCAUAUGUGGUGUUUAUUUUUAGACAAGAUGGGAAGAUGUAAACAGUGGGAGGUCCAUACCAUUUUCCAAGUUCUUUAUUAAUGUGAAUGUUUAUGUUAUUCUGAUUAGGAACUUAAGUGAAUAAAUCGUUUUCGAAUUUGUAAACAAAUAAUUGCUUACAAAAUAAUGAACUCUGUUAAACAAAAAUAAUUGCUUACAGUAGAGAAUAACUAUAAACAUUAUUGAUGUAUA